GAAACGCAUGUUUCUUUUUUGAAAGUCGGUUUCGGCUGACACUUACAGAUGAGCCCGCGGCGCAUUAGCUAGUUGGUGAGGGAACGGCUCACCAAGGCGACGAUGCGUAGCCGACCUGAGAGGGUGAUCGGCCACACUGGGACUGAGACACGGCCCAGACUCCUACGGGAGGGAGCAGUAGGGAAUCUUCGGCAAUGGGCGAAAGCCUGACCGAGCAACGCCGCGUGAGCGAUGAAGGCCUUCGGGUCGUAAAGCUCUGUUGUUAGAGAAGAACAAGUACGAGAGUAACUGCUCGUACCUUGACGGUACCUAACCAGAAAGCCACGGCUAACUACGUGCCAGCAGCCGCGGUAAUACGUAGGUGGCAAGCGUUAUCCGGAAUUAUUGGGCGUAAAGCGCGCGCAGGCGGUCUCUUAAGUCUGAUGUGAAAGCCCACGGCUCAACCGUGGAGGGU
rnacentral:rRNA from 1 species